AUUUCUUUUUUCUUCUUUGAUUUCUCUUCCAUUUGAUCUGUGCAGCUGACAGAGGCAAACGGCUGAAGGAGGCAAAAGGUUGACAGAGGCAAACGGUUGAAAUCUUACGGAAGCCUAUCAAAAACUUUUGGAGGAAUGGCGUCAAAGUCAACCCGAUUUCGAGGAUGGUAACUCAACCCAAGUGUCACUCAAUGAUGUAGCUUCAAUAUGGACGCAGGUGGUUGGCGAUGCAAAGAAAGGUAGAACCUACGGUCUUGGAUCACAAUAUUCCGUAGGUCGUCCUACGAUAUUGUUGUCUGGUGAUACGAGUUAUUCGCAGGAUCGUGAAGAGGUUGAAGCAUUACGAAAAGAAGUUGAAGAGUUAAAGGAGGAACGGAAAGAAGAUCGUGUAAAUUUUAACAAAUUGCAGAGUCUAGUUGAGAAACUUAUGAGCAUGCGUCAAGUUGAUCCUUUGAAUGACGAACAUGGCGGGGAUAAUGAGUUUUAGUUUGUCGUGGUUGUGAUGUUUGAGACAUUAUUAUUUGUUAUGGUUGGAUGUAAACUUGGUAAAUGUUUAGACUUGACUAUGACUGUAAUGUUAAGAUUUGAUUGAAUGGUGCUUGGAUGUUUAACUUG